AUUGAACGCUGGCGGCAGGCUUAACACAUGCAAGUCGAGCGGGGGAAGGUAGCUUGCUACCGGACCUAGCGGCGGACGGGUGAGUAAUGCUUAGGAAUCUGCCUAUUAGUGGGGGACAACAUCUCGAAAGGGAUGCUAAUACCGCAUACGUCCUAAGGGAGAAAGCAGGGGAUCUUCGGACCUUGCGCUAAUAGAUGAGCCUAAGUUGGAUUAGCUAGUCGGUGGGGUAAAGGCCUACCAAGGCGACGAUCUGUAGCGGGUCUGAGAGGAUGAUCCGCCACACUGGGACUGGGACACGGCCCAGACUCCUACGGGAGGCAGCAGUGGGGAAUAUUGGACAAUGGGGGGAACCCUGAUCCAGCCAUGCCGCGUGUGUGAAGAAGGCCUUAUGGUUGUAAAGCACUUUAAGCGAGGAGGAGGCUACUUUAGUUAAUACCUAGAGAUAGUGGACGUUACUCGCAGAAUAAGCACCGGCUAACUCUGUGCCAGCAGCCGCCGUAA
rnacentral:rRNA from 1 species